rnacentral:siRNA from 1 species
CAGUUCCGAACCCGUCGGC